rnacentral:tRNA from 1 species
AACCAAAUAGCUCAGUUGGGAGAGCAUUAGACUAUAGAUCGCAAGGUCCCUGGUCUAUCCCGGGAUUCGAUG